UCUUGUUCAGUCAUCGUCAUCGUUUGCUACCUGAUCCUUUACCUGUUACCUGCCUGUUCCUGCCCGUCCGCCUGUCUGCUCCUGUUCCCAGUGUCCCUGUAUCCCCUGUACGACUGAACCACUGGACACAAACCAAGGAUCAUGACAUAUGGGACAACACAGAAAAAGGAGCUGGAUAAUUAGCAGCUACAACUCAGGAGCAAUGACCCGGGCUCCAGCUGCCCCUGACGGCCUGCAGGCUCCGGGCAGGUCCAGAUGAACCGCUCCACAGUCAACAGCACCCACGGGUAAAGUCCACCCAGCGAGUUAUGGCACGUCGUUACUCAUAAACUAAGACAACGUGGAGCAGCUUGCAGCGCCUCGCUCUCGCGGACUGAAGUGUCGUCUCAGUGAUGUGCUGAAGCUGAAGCCGUGUCAAACUGUCACAUGUCACAGCUUCCUCUGGGACAAAUAACAUUAAGAUUCUGCAGCGUUUUUUCCUCCUCCACAUAAACAAAAAGAGACUUGAACGGGUGCGGGGAGAUUCACGACAACUGCGAGCGAACGAAGACACAAACAGAGGUGGUCAAAACACGACGAUCUGCUUUACACAGAGACAUGUAGAUCAUUACAGUGGUGCAGAAAACAGUACCAUAAAGCAUGCGUUGAAUACAAACACAGAUGCAUAAAUAAACAAUAAAUGACAGCAGCUUCUUUAUCCCACAUUUUCUUUGGAAGACAGUUGGAGGAUUGAGGAUGUGUGACAGGCGGCUCUGUGUGUCUGCAAGGAGGCGUUGGAACUGCAGUCAGUGCUGAGCUGCCUGAUUAAAUGAAGACGUCGUCACUUAUUCAUCGUCAAUUACAGCGACACAGAGCUGUCAGCAGGCUGUGCACUGGCCGCCUGCCAGAUAACCCUUAACGCCACCUCCACCUGAAAACAACCAGCGGGGGGACCGUGUUCAGUGUGACACACCUGCAGAGGGUGGAGGUGACUGACAGACAGCGGCUGCAGCAGGAGGGUGUGUAAAGACACUUCACCUGUGAAUAUUCGUCCUGGUAAUACAAGUCUUUGCAGUCUGGUAGUUUUCUGUGUCAGUUUCCCGUGUCGUUAUGUUUAUGCAUGAAGUAAAGUGACCUGAUUCUCACAA